GACGAACGCUGGCGGCGUGCCUAAUACAUGCAAGUUGAGCGCUGAAGGUUGGUACUUGUACCAACUGGAUGAGCAGCGAACGGGUGAGUAACGCGUGGGGAAUCUGCCUUUGAGCGGGGGACAACAUUUGGAAACGAAUGCUAAUACCGCAUAAAAACUUUAAACACAAGUUUUAAGUUUGAAAGAUGCAAUUGCAUCACUCAAAGAUGAUCCCGCGUUGUAUUAGCUAGUUGGUGAGGUAAAGGCUCACCAAGGCGAUGAUACAUAGCCGACCUGAGAGGGUGGUCGGCCACAUUGGGACUGGGACACGGCCCAAACUCCUACGGGAGGCAGCAGUAGGGAAUCUUCGGCAAUGGACGAAAGUCUGACCGAGCAACGCCGCGUGAGUGAAGAAGGUUUUCGGAUCGUAAAACUCUGUUGGUAGGGAAGAACGUUGGUGAGAGUGGAGAGCUCAUCAAGUGACGGUAACUACCCAGAAAGGGACGGCUAACUACGUG
rnacentral:rRNA from 1 species